ACAUUUACCUGGUAGGGGAGACACAAUGAUCACAAAGGUGGUUUUCCCAGGAUGAGGCGAUCCACUGUACUCCAGAUAUGCUGACCCCUGAGAUUUCCCCAAAUGUGGAAAAUUCAGCUGCAUAAUUUUUAGUAGUGGAGCACUGCAUGCAUUUGUGCUUUCCCCUG
ensembl:snRNA U1 U1 spliceosomal RNA